rnacentral:lncRNA from 1 species
CUGGACUCCUUUUGCCUUUGCAGCAAGACGUGCAAGAGGUACAGUGUCAUCCUGAGCAGAACAGGUGGUCACAACCUCCCUUGCUUCUCUCCGGCCAGAAGGAGGCUAAUGUCCAGCCCCCGGCGAGGCACACUUGAUUCACCAGCAGAGCACAAUGAUACGGGGCCCCUUUGAGUUCACGCGUAUGGAAUUUAAGAAGUAAGACAAAUGAGCAACAAUGGAAAAAGGAGACAAAAAAUAAACAAAAAACCAGAAUUCUAAUACAGAGAAGAAGCUGGCGGAUGCCAGAGGCAAGUGACGGGUGAGUGAAUGGGUGAAACUGACAAAGGGAAUUAAGAGACACUUAUCUUGAUGAGCACUGAGACCUGUAUAGCAUUGUCAACCUGAAAUUAAUAGAACACUGCAUGUUAAUUAUACCUGAAUUAAAACAAAAGACAAAACAACUUGAAAAAAAAAAAACUCUGUGCUGCAUGUAGUAAA